AGAAAAAGAAAAAUUGAUAGCUUCCGUUUCACGCGCCCCUGCUUUUUGUUUCUUCACACUUUGUAAGCAUUAACAAUGCUUAACCUCCCCUGACUUUCCCCUCUGCAAUAUUGUCCCUGCCCUGAAAUGCUACUGCUGAAUAAACAAAGAUGGCUUAUGUUCCACCGCACAGGAGAGUACAGGGGUCGUCGAGUUCUCAGGCCCCUGAACUAUGCUAUUUGCCAGAUGCGGGCAUUGAUGUAGAACCUACCGUUUUCAUUUGGUUUGCUGUUGAUGCGAAUGUCAAUCCGCCGCCGCCUAAUUUGCAGUUUAAAUUCAAACCAUUUGCAGACACAACAAAUCCACGUCUGCAAGACAAGAAGCUUUACACCAUUUCUGUACACUCCCAUCCUGUAGACGGAGCUCCAAAAGUACAGACAGAGGAAUCAAAACAACCCUAUACAUUCUAACGCUCUAUUUGGAAAUUUUGCCCGUUAAAAUAUUAUCAUUAAAACAUUGAGCACGAGCAAAUUCUUUGAGCAUGUUAACAAUUAUGAUUCCAAAUAUGAGUAUAAGCGUCGUCUAGUUCUGAAACCCCUCCACGCUUUGUGAAGAGACUAUGCUAUUACAUUGAGGCGGAUGUUGAUGAAGGAUCUAACGUUCGCAUUUGGUUUACUGUUGAUUCAAAUGCCAAUCCGCCGGCUAAUUUGAAGCUUGAAUUCAAACCCUUUGCAGACACAUCAAUUCCACAUCUGCCAGACAAGAAGGUUUACACCAUUUGUGUAAAAUCCCAUCCUGUAGACGGUAAUAACUUUCGGACCUUUAAAUAAUUGCAUUUUACUUGUAUUCAGAGUAUUACGUUUGGAAUUGGGAAUUCUCUUUAUUUGCUUUCAACGAUUUUUCAGCUUUAAAGUUCACGCUGAAACAGAGUUCUCUUUGUGAGUCGGACAAUACCCGAAUCUCCACUUUACAGGGUGUUUUUUACAGCGUGUCAAAUUAGAUGUUUUAUAGGGAUUAUAUAAUUUUUGAGUCUAUUUAAUUGAUCUAUAUUUUAUUAGUAGUUGUUUUUACAAAUUCGUCUUUGUUGAAUAUGGAUAGUCUAUUU